UUCCAGACUCCUACGGGAGGCAGCAGUGAGGAAUAUUGGUCAAUGGCCGGGAGGCUGAACCAGCCAAGUCGCGUGAGGGAAGACGGCCCUACGGGUUGUAAACCUCUUUUGUCAGGGAGCAAGGUGCAGGUCGGGACCUGCUGUGAGAGUACCUGAAGAAAAAGCAUCGGCUAACUCCGUGCCAGCAGCCGCGGUAAUACGGAGGAUGCGAGCGUUAUCCGGAUUUAUUGGGUUUAAAGGGUGCGUAGGCGGAAUAUCAAGUCAGCGGUAAAAAUUCGGGGCUCAACCCCGUCGUGCCGUUGAAACUGAUGUUCUUGAGUGGGCGAGAAGUAUGCGGAAUGCGUGGUGUAGCGGUGAAAUGCAUAGAUAUCACGCAGAACUCCGAUUGCGAAGGCAGCAUACCGGCGCCCAACUGACGCUGAAGCACGAAAGCGUGGGUAUCGAACAGGAUUAGAUACCCUGGUACU
rnacentral:rRNA from 1 species